CAAGGUUUCAAAUGCUGAUCUGUCAGACUCCCCAGCCCGAGAGCCCCACACUUGACAUGAGCUGAGGAGGGCUCCAAGUGCGGCUGUCCUUUCGGGGCCAUCCCAUUGAGUGAAGCACACAAAAAGGGCCCAAGCACACCAUACAUCAUCCAUCGCUUCCCAUGAGGCUCCAGCAGGAAGCUGGAAGCUGGAGCUUCAGCUGGGAAUCAAACCCGGGCACUGAGGUGUGACAGUUGAAGAGCAGAGCCACAGUGAAUAAGAGAAUCUUUCAUCCAAAUGCCCACAAUGGUGAGGCCAAAGCCAGGAGCCUCAGAGUCCAUUCAGAUGUCCCACAUAAGCACGUAAGCCAUCCUCUGCUACAUCUCCAGGUAUAUCAGCAGGAAGCUGGAUUGGAUGCAAAGGA